CAGUCGCCACGGGAAUACGAAGGGUGCAAGCGUUACUCGGAAUUACUGGGCGUAAAGGGUGCGUAGGUGGGUAUUUAAGUCAGGGGUGAAAUCCCAGAGCUCAACUCUGGAACUGCCUUUGAUACUGGGUAUCUUGAGUAUGGAAGAGGUAAGUGGAAUUCCGAGUGUAGAGGUGAAAUUCGUAGAUAUUCGGAAGAACACCAGUGGCGAAGGCGGCUUACUGGCUCAUUCUAGACGCUGAGGUGCGAAAGCGUGGGGAGCAAACAGGAUUAGAUACCCCUGUAGUCCCUGUCUCUUAUAC
rnacentral:rRNA from 1 species